rnacentral:rRNA from 1 species
UAGUGGCGAACGGGUGAGUAACGCGUAAUCAACCUGCCCUUCAGAGGGGAAAAAAGGUGGAAAAGAAUGGUAAUACCGGAAAAGAACUGACCUCGGGAUCCAGGAAAAAAGAAAGGGGGGCUCCACAUGGAAACUAAUACUGAAGGAGGGGAAUGGGUCUGAAUAACUAAGUGGAAGGGGAACGGGCCACCCAGGGGAAGAACAAUAACCGGGCUGAAAAGAAGAACGGGCCCCUUGGGAAUGAAAAACGGGCCAAAAUCCUAAGGGAAGGAGCAGGGGGGAAACCUCCGCAAUGGAAGAAAGGCUGAAGGAACAACCCCCCGGGAAGGAAGAAGGGCUUCCGGUUGGAAAGCUCUGGUAAACCGGAAGAAAGGGCUUUCUGGCAAAAAGGAAAAAGAAUGACGGGACCGGAAUAAAAAGCCACGGGUAACUACCUGGCCACAGCCGCGGGAAUACCUAAGGGGGAAGCGGUGGCCGGAAAUAAUGGGCGGAAAGCGCGCGCAAGGGGAACAGGCCAUCUGGCCUAAAAGUUCGGGGCUUAACCCCGGGAAGGGAAGGAAACUGGUGAUCUAAAAUAUCCGAAAAGAAAGUGGAAUUCUUAGUGUAGCGGUGAAAUGCGUAGAUAUUAGGAAGAACACCAGUGGCGAAGGCGACUUUCUGGACGAAAACUGACGUUGAGGCGCGAAAGCCAGGGGAGCGAACGGGAUUAGAUACCCCGGUAGUCCUGGCCGUAAACGAUGGGUACUAGGUGUAGGAGGUAUCGACCCCUUCUGUGCCGGAGUUAACGCAAUAAGUACCCCGCCUGGGGAGUACGACCGCAAGGUUGAAACUCAAAGGAAUUGACGGGGGCCCGCACAAGCGGUGGAGUAUGUGGUUUAAUUCGACGCAACGCGAAGAACCUUACCAGGUCUUGACAUUGAUGGACAGAACUAGAGAUAGUUCCUCUUCUUCGGAAGCCAGAAAACAGGUGGUGCACGGUUGUCGUCAGCUCGUGUCGUGAGAUGUUGGGUUAAGUCCCGCAACGAGCGCAACCCCUAUCUUAUGUUGCCAGCACGUAAAGGUGGGAACUCAUGAGAGACUGCCGCAGACAAUGCGGAGGAAGGCGGGGAUGACGUCAAAUCAUCAUGCCCCUUAUGACCUGGGCUACACACGUACUACAAUGGGAGUUAAUAGACGGAAGCGAGAUCGCGAGAUGGAGCAAACCCGAGAAACACUCUCUCAGUUCGGAUCGUAGGCUGCAACUCGCCUACGUGAAGUCGGAAUCGCUAGUAAUCGCAGGUCAGCAUACUGCGGUGAAUACGUUCCCGGGCCUUGUACACACCGCCCGUCACACCACGAAAGUCGGAAGUGCCCAAAGCCGGUGGGGUAACCUUCGGGAGCCAGCCGUCUAAGGUAAAGUCGAUGAUUGGGG